AUGUCCAAUCCUGGAAAUUCAAGUCUUCUGUUUCUCUAAAGAGAAGGUAUAGGACAAGCAUCUGUAAUGCAAGCUUCUCCAUCCUGUCCUGAAGAGACUGACUGUCUUCUAGGAGUGAGUGGACUGUUCAGUCUCCGUGCCCAUUCAAUCCCUGGCUUCU
ensembl:misc_RNA